rnacentral:lncRNA from 1 species
GAGGCAUGGACCACCAGCUUCGGAAUCCACAUUCCUGAACCAAAGCCUGUGCCAGCUCUGAAAUGGCACUGCAUUGAGAUGUCCCCUGGCUACUACCCUGAAAGUGGGAGCAGCAAGUCCAGGUAGCAUCAACAGCAGCCCUGCUCCCAGAGGAACUUCAAAGUACAAGGCUACUUUGACAAGCUUAAAACAGAACUACGCAUCACUCAGAAAGAAAAACCUGUUUUCUGUCAUGCCUGGUGGGAAAAGCCAUUGCAGAGCCCCUUGCUACCCGGUGGAAGAGGCCAUGGCAGUGUUCCAGGAAGUCCAAGUACAGGAUUUGUUGAGCAGCUGCUCCAUGCCAGGUGUUGUUGCAGACCCCGGAGAGACAAUAAUAGAGAAGACAGACC